rnacentral:rRNA from 1 species
AUUGAACGCUGGCGGCAGGCCUAACACAUGCAAGUCGAGCGGAUGAAGGGAGCUUUCUCCUGGAUUCAGCGGCGGACGGGUGAGUAAUGCCUAGGAAUCUGCCUGGUAGUUGGGGAUAACGUCCGGAAACGGGCGCUAAUACCGCAUACGUCCUGAGGGAGAAAGUGGGGGAUCUUCGGACCUCGCGCUAUCAGAUGAGCCUAGGUCGGAUUAGCUAGUUGGUGGGGUAAAGGCCUACCAAGGCGACGAUCCGUAACUGGUCUGAGAGGAUGAUCAGUCACACUGGAACUGAGACACGGUCCAGACUCCUACGGGAGGCAGCAGUGGGGAAUAUUGGACAAUGGGCGAAAGCCUGAUCCAGCCAUGCCGCGUGUGUGAAGAAGGUCUUCGGAUUGUAAAGCACUUUAAGUUGGGAGGAAGGGCAGUAAGUUAAUACCUCGCUGUUUUGACGUUACCAACAGAAUAAGCACCGGCUAACUUCGUG